rnacentral:misc_RNA from 1 species
CACGUCAACCUGUAAAAACACAUUGUUUUUACCAAUAUUAAUAUUUAUUUUUGUGUUUCGUCUUUUUUUUAAAUUAUAAGUUGUAGAUUAAGAAGUGGUGAGGACCGUGAGGACUAUUUCAUUACGAAACCAACCUUCUUUGAUUUCAUUUUUAGCAUCAUUGGUAAAGAUGGCGGCUGAUCUGAAGGUGGUGCUUGCUGCAUUGCUGAGAGACAUUUCAGAAAGGAGUUCCUGUGAAAACUUAGCUGAAGCGAAAGCAAUUUUGAGUGCAACGCGCGCAGAAAAUAUUUAUAACGUAUCGAAAGACCUUGAUCUAAGCCCUUUGUUCAGCUGUUCUAGCACGUUUAACGGGAAUACUUUAGAUGAACUCAGUGAGCUGCUUGGAAAGCUUCUUGAUGGGUUUCCACCAUCUGCAUUACUUUCCGCUCACAAGCAGCAUUUUGUGACUGCAUUGAGCACUUCUGAUGGGGCACUGAAAGCAGUCGUCUUACGCCAGCUGAUUCGAUGCUCCAAGGACAAUGCUACAUUGUCUCAGCUUGCUCGUGAUCACCGCAUCCUUGAAUCUGUUUUGAGGCUCCUUGGUAGCGAGGACCUCUGGUCAUCCAAGCAGAGUGCUAUUCUGCUGAAACAGAUGACACGGGAAAAGGAAGUACUAAGUGCCAUGCUGCAUCCCCCUGUGGCACACGUUCUGGACAGCGUUAUGGAUGGUGGUGAUGUGUGCCGUUUUAGAGUGUUUGAGGUCUUUGUGGAUGUGGCAAAGGCUUCUCCUGAAAACCUUGAGCGGCUUUCAGAAAGCGGCCAUCUGGAGAGACUGGUGAAAGAAAUGGACAAGAAUGAUGUCUUAGUUCAGCUGAAUGCAUUAGAAGUGCUGACUGAGCUUGUGUCUUGUAGCCAUGGUUUGGAUUAUCUUGAGCGUACUGGCAUCAUAUCCAAGCUCCGUCAGAAAGCUCUCAACAUUGGUUCUGACCCACUCGGUAACUUUCUGGGCCCAGGAGUGCUCAAGUUUUUUGGCAGCAUGGGUGUGACCAGCCCCCAGCGAUUGCUGCUUGACUACCCUCAGGUGCUGGGCUUUAUCUUCGAAAGUGUGCAAAGUGAUGACCCAGCAUGCCAGGUAGUUGCUGCAGAAACAGUGGGUAUCAUCAGCUCCACCAUUCAAGGAAAACGUGUCCUUCAAUCACAUGGGGAUCAGAUGAGCCGCUACCUAAAAACAUUAAGCCAGAACAUCCAUAGUGGAAAGGUCGACUUCAAGGUUCGAUAUCUCGGUGCCCUGGCCAAUGUUCUGCACAUUCAAGACAGCAGCUGCGAGGACUUGGUGCACUUGACAGAGCGGUGGUACAGCCUGCUAGGUGACCGACCCACUGACAUGUUGCUCCGCCUGUGCCGGCAGCCAUUCCCUGAGCUGCGUUGUGCCACCCUGACUGUGGUUGCUGAAGUGGCACGAGUACCCUGGGGUCAGGCUGCACUGGCAGCACAGCCAGGGUUCCUUGAGUACCUUCUUGACCGCUCCACUGAGGCUGACAAACAGUGCAAGGAGGCCAAGUUUGCUGUCGUGGCUAUCUUGGCUCAGAUGCAACCUCGUGGUUUUGCUGAUGAUGACUGGCAACGCAUCAGGACUGCCUACCAAGAGGGUCCCUUCUAUAUGGCCUCGGAAGCGGCUGUAACCUUUGAGGGGCUCUCCUGAGGCUCUCGUCUGUCAAGGGGAUAGAAAUCGCCCCAAGCUGCAGCUACAGGCUUCGUCCUUCUCCUGAGGCACCUUCCUCAUUCUCUUCCCCGCAGCAUCAUCCUCCCAGCGGAGUAGCUCCAUCCCGAUGCAGGUUAUGGAGCAUCAAUUAAGUGCUCAAGUACAAGGACACACAGAUUCAAACAUAAUACAGCACUGCGUCAUGUUUCCUUCAUUACAUCAGUGUUCUUGAGGGCUGCAUGAAUGAUUUAUCGCCAACUAGCCCAUACGACACCUGCACUUGAAAUAACAGGAAGCUCAAGGAGCAGUGUGAUCUUAGAACAUUGGUGGCCUAGACCUGCUUUCUGCAGCUCCUUCCCACAGCUAAUGGAACACAGAACAAUGCGGAAAGUUGUAUAAAAAAUGUUUUAUUGUAGAAUGUCACCAACGUAAAACAAAUAAAGGGAUCACUUUCUGUCAGAAAAAAUAUGGCAGCAUGAUUCACUCAA